AGAGUUGAUCAUGGCUCAGGACGAACGCUGGCGGCGUGCCUAACACAUGCAAGUCGAGCGGGGACAUACGACGGAAGUGAAGUUUCGGAUGGAGCGGAAGAUGCAUGUCUAGCGGCGGACGGGUGAGUAACGCGUGAGCAACCUGUCCCUUACAGGGGGAUAACACAGCGAAAGUUGUACUAAUACCGCAUAAGACCACGGGGAGACAUCUUUCAGGGGUCAAAGGAGCAAUCCGGUAAGGGGUGGGCUCGCGUCCGAUUAGAUAGUUGGUGAGGUAACGGCCCACCAAGUCGACGAUCGGUAGCCGACCUGAGAGGGUGAUCGGCCACAUUGGGACUGAGACACGGCCCAAACUCCUACGGGAGGCAGCAGUGGGGAAUAUUGGGCAAUGGGGGGAACCCUGAACCCCAGCAACGCCGCGUGAGGGAAGAAGGUUUUCGGAUCGUAAACCUCUGUCCUUGGUGAAGAGUGAGAGACGGUAGCCAAGGAGGAAGCCCCGGCUAACUACGUGCCAGCAGCAGC
rnacentral:rRNA from 1 species